rnacentral:lncRNA from 7 species
GUGUGCCCAGCCCCAUUUGCCCAGUCUGCCCGCCUCUGUGAUCCCCCGCAGCACUGGCUGGAAGUCCGCCGCGUGUCAGUGAGGAGCUGCUGCAGAAGGAAGAAGAAGAAGCGGCGUGGGGACCUGGGAGGCAGGAGCAAGCAAGAAGAGGAAGCGGAAGCGUGCAGAUGCGGGGGGGAAGGAGAGAGGCUCCCUGGGCAAAGCACCUGUCCCGUUAGCAGGGGCACAGUCACGUUUGAGUUGAGAGCUGCCGGCGCCUUUGGUGACCAGGCUGGCGUUGUGCUGGGCGACCUCCCCGUAAGCGGGGCUCGGGUCUUUGCUGUAGUUGGCCUUUUGCCUUGCUGCUCCUAGGGCUGCCUGGGGAGCGUGGCCCCCUGUAACGGAGGGCGAGAGCCACC